rnacentral:lncRNA from 12 species
GGAAUGGCUUUGUUGGACGGACAGCUAAACAUGCUUCUGUAGAUUGGGUUUUGAGGAUUUACUGUGAGUAUCAGAGGGCACAGGCGAAUGGGGAGAUGGGGUCAGAAAAGACGAUGCAGAGGCGAUCAUGUGACUCUUGAUCAUGUGGGGGUUGUAAGUUCGACCUCCACAUUGGGUGUAGGGAUUACUUUAAAAAAUAAUAAAAUCUUUUAAGAAAAAGAAAAGGUAAUGCAGAAAAUUGAGUGGGCAGAAGAGGGCAAGGGAUGACCAUCUGAGCCUGUGAUGUUGGCAGCAAACAAGAGGAACUAAAUAAAUUCUGUGAAUGAAACCAAUGAUUCUGGGCAUCUGGGAGGCUCAGUGGUUGAGCAUCUACCUUCAGCUCAGGUCGUGACCCCAGGGUCCUGGGAUCGAGUUCCGCAUCAGGCUCCCCACAGGGAACGUGCUUCUCCCUCUGCCUAUGUUUCUGUGUCUCUCAUGAGUAAAUAAAUAAAAUCUUUUAAAAAAAGAAACCAAUGAUUCAAAGGCAGAGUGUUGACCGGGGGUGUGUGUGUGUGUAGAAAUAAAUGCAUAGGGGGAUCAUGCAUAGGGUGGCUCAGCGGUUUGGCGCCUGCCUUUGGCCCAGGGCGCGAUCCUUGAGUCCCGGGAUCGAGUCCCGCAUCGGGCUCCCGGCAUGAAGCCUGCUUCUCCCUCUGCCCCACCCUGUCUAUCAUAAAUAAAUAAAUAAAUCUCAAAAAAAAAGAAAUAAAUGCAUAAUUAUUCAAAUAAAAAUGUUUAUUCAUAUGUCACAUGAAAUGAUCUACCUUUCUAUGCUUUUGGAAAUGCUGCCUGAAAUAGCAUCCUUUUUACUGCAUCAUGGCUCCUUCUUUUUUUUUUUUUAAUUUUUAUUUAUUUAUGAUAGUCACAGAGAGAGAGAGAGAGAGAGAGGCAGAGGCACAGGCAGUGGGAGAAGCAGGCUCCAUGCACCGGGAGCCCGACGUGGGAUUCGAUCCUGAAUCUUCAGGAUCACGCCCUGGGCCAAAGGCAGGCGCCAAACCGCUGCGCCACCCAGGGAUCCCCAUCAUGGCUCCUUCUGAAGAACUCCUUAGGAGAAAGUUUGGGACCAAGUCCAUGCUGGAGCCCCCAGGUGCACUUGCCCUUGGACCAGGAAGUAUGCCUGUGUCCCUGAAACCCUACAACAAAUUCCUAAGGGCAAACAUUGUGUUUUUUUCUUUAAUAAUAAAUUUAUUUUUUAUUGGUGUUCAAUUUGCCAACAUACAGAAUAACACCCAGUGCUCAUCCCGUCAAGUGCCCCCCUCAGUGCCCGCCACCCAGUCACCCCCACCCCCCGCCCUCCUCCCCUUCCACCACCCCUAG